rnacentral:tRNA from 1 species
GUUUAAAUAGCUUAUAAUUAGAGCAUAAUAUUGAAGAUAUUAAGGAAAUAUGAAUUAUUUUUAAAUA